ACGCAACCGCAACCACUCGCCGCAGAGUAGAGUACCGCCACUACUGCUCUUGUACGUACCCCUGUGGUACAUGUCUAUCUCUUUCUGGUUUGCCACGCAUUGAUAACCUCAGCCUACUUCCCGGGAAAAAAAAAUGAUAUCCUCAUCUACUCGUCCCGCAGUAGCAGUAAUGCGCUCACCAGUCCGGUGCAGUCCACUCCAGUCUCCACCACAGCCACCAGCGCCACUACAAUAGUGGUAGUAAAUUCGUCGCAACUUGCGCAUCUGCGUGCUCCUUCCCAGCCGAGCUGCAUCGCCGCCAUUAUUCAUUUCUGCUUUCACGGCUUCGUGCUGGCUGCGAAUCCUUUCGCUUCGGUGCUGGUGCUGGUGUGGCUGGCGGGCUGGUGUGUGACCCCUGUCGGCAGGCAGCCAUGGGGAAAGCUGCCAUAUGGCGGUGCUUUUGGACCUAGCUUCUUGUUCCUUUCGACGCGCCGCUCCUCCUUUUGGCUCCUGUGGUGACCCGUUCCUCCUGCUCCACUCUCUUGAUCUGCGCACUGAUUGAUGCCGGCCUGAGGGGAGGAGGGCCAAUGGUGGCUAGGGAGGAGAGAUCGGGCGGCGGGGAGCUCUGAUCUGAUCUGCUGCGACGCGUGGUGGUAGAUGGUGCGCCGGAGGCAGGUUGUGCUUUGCUGCUGCCGCGAAUCUUGAGCUGAAGCAUGUCGGAGUCUAGCAGGGCGUUCAAUGUCGACGGCGCCGGGCAGCCGGCCGACGGGGCGCGGGGAGGAGGGAAGCGGCGCCCGGGCGCGGGCGGCGGCGGGAGCGUGCCGUUCCACAGGCUGUUCGCGUUCGCGGACGGCGCCGACGCGGCGCUGAUGCUGGUCGGCGCGGUCGGCGCGGUGGCCAACGGCGCCGCGCUGCCGCUCAUGACGGUUCUGUUUGGCGGCCUCGUCGACGCCUUCGGCGGCGCGGCCGGCGGCAGCGGCGACGUCCUGGCCCGCGUUUCCCAGGUCUCCCUCGAGUUCGUCUACCUCGCCAUCGCCUCGGCCGUCGCCUCCUUCGCCCAGGUGACCUGCUGGAUGAUCACCGGCGAGCGGCAGGCGGCGCGGAUACGGAACAUGUACCUGAGGACCAUACUCAGGCAGGAGAUCUCCUUCUUCGACAUGUACACCAGCACCGGCGAGGUCGUGGGGCGCAUGUCCGGCGACACGGUGCUCAUCCAGGACGCCAUGGGGGAAAAGGUCGGCAAGUUCAUCCAGCUGAUGGUGACGUUCUUUGGAGGCUUCGCUGUGGCCUUCGCGCAGGGAUGGCUCCUCACCCUCGUCAUGGUGGCCACCAUCCCGCCGCUCGUCCUCUCCGGCGCGGUCAUGUCCAAUGUCGUCGCCAGGAUGGCGUCGCUGGGGCAGGCCGCCUACGCCGAAGCCGCGGUCGUCGUCGAGCAGACCGUCGGCUCCAUCAGAACAGUUGCAUCUUUCACUGGGGAGAAGAAAGCGGUGGAGAAGUACAACAAGUCGCUUAAGUGCGCUUACAGUUCCGGUGUCCGGGAAGGCCUAGUCGCUGCCAUCGGCAUGGGCACCGUCAUGAUGCUCCUGUUCUGCGGCUACUCCCUGGGGGUAUGGUAUGGAGCCAAGCUGAUCCUAGAGAAGGGAUACACAGGUGCCCAGGUCAUGAAUGUCAUCUUCGCGGUGCUUACCGGCUCACUAGCUCUAGGACAGGCGUCACCAAGCAUGAAAGCAUUCGCAGGAGGACAGGCUGCAGCAUACAAGAUGUUUGAAACAAUCAACAGGGAGCCCGAAAUCGAUGCAUACAGCACAGAGGGUAGGAUGCUAGACGACAUUCAGGGGGAUAUUGAGUUCAGAGAUGUUCACUUCUCUUACCCAACAAGGCCCAAUGAGCAAAUAUUCAGAGGUUUCUCCCUUACCAUACAGAGUGCCAAAACCGUUGCAUUGGUUGGCCAGAGUGGGAGUGGAAAAUCAACAGUUAUCAGCUUGAUCGAACGAUUUUACGAUCCUCAGCUCGGAGAAGUUCUAAUAGAUGGAGUGAAUAUCAAGGAGUUGCAGUUAAAGUGGAUCAGAAGUAAAAUUGGCUUAGUGAGCCAGGAGCCGGCCUUGUUUGCUGCAAGCAUAAGAGAUAACAUAGCUUAUGGUAAAGACAAUGCGACAGAUCAGGAAAUCAGAGCUGCGGCUGAGCUUGCUAACGCCUCCAAAUUCAUUGAUAAAUUACCCCAGGGUUUCACUACAUCGGUUGGUGAACAUGGAACACAACUAUCUGGUGGACAAAAGCAAAGAAUUGCCAUUGCCAGAGCGAUUCUCAAAGAUCCAAGAAUCCUGCUUUUGGACGAAGCGACAAGCGCUUUGGACACCGAAUCUGAAAGGAUUGUGCAGGAGGCUCUUGAUAGGGUCAUGACAAAUCGGACCACUGUCAUAGUUGCACACCGUUUGACCACUGUAAGGAAUGCUGAUACAAUUGCUGUCAUCUGCCGAGGAUCAAUAGUUGAAAAAGGUCCACACCAUGACCUUUUGAGGGACCCAGAAGGAGCUUACAGCCAACUGAUACGCCUACAGGAAACAAGUCAUGCUUCUGAGGGUGCAAGCAAUCAGAACAAGUCAGGUAGGAAGAGUGAUACUGGGAUUAGGUUAGGCAAACAAUUGUUGGUAAAUCAGUCAAAUAGCCAAAGGUCAUCUCGGGAUAACAGUAGCCACCACUCAUUCUCAGUGCCAUUCGGCAUACCUCAUGAAAUUGAUGUUCAGGUUGGCUGCUCGAAGAACAUAACUGAUGAAAUACAACAGGAAGUGCCCCUCAGUCGCCUGGCAUCCCUUAACAAACCAGAGGUCCCAGUGCUUAUACUUGGUUCUGUUGCUUCUGCUAUCAGCGGAGUGAUAUUCCCGAUCUUUGCAAUACUUUUGUCGAAUGUGAUCAAAGCAUUCUAUGAGCCCCCAGAAAUGCUAAAGAAGGAUGCUGCGUUUUGGUCAUCCAUGUUCUUGAUAUUUGGUGCAGUGUACUUCGUGUCACUCCCUGUCGGCUCAUACUUUUUCUCGGUGGCUGGGUGCAAGCUCAUCAGAAGAAUCAGACUAAUGACUUUUGAAAAGGUGGUCAAUAUGGAGAUUGGAUGGUUUGAUGACCCACAUAACUCAAGUGGCUCAAUUGGGUCAAGGCUAUCGUCGGAUGCAGCAAAAGUUAGGGGGCUCGUGGGUGAUACACUUCAACUGGUUGUGCAAAACUCUGCAACAUUAGUUGCUGGCCUGGUAAUUGCUUUCGUAUCAAACUGGGAGCUAUCUCUUAUCAUUUUGGCGUUGAUACCACUCAUCGGCCUAAAUGGAUGGAUCCAGAUGAAAUUUAUCCAGGGAUUCAGUGCAGAUGCAAAGAUGAUGUACGAGGAGGCAAGUCAAGUGGCAAAUGAUGCAGUAAGUAGCAUAAGGACAGUGGCCUCAUUUUCUGCUGAAGAGAAGGUGAUGGAUUUGUACAACAAAAAGUGCGAAGGACCGCUACAAACAGGAAUCAGGACAGGAAUAAUAAGUGGUAUUGGUUUUGGAGUUUCCUUCUUUUUGCUGUUUGGAGUCUACGCAGCAAGCUUCUAUGCUGGUGCUCGGCUUGUCGAGGAUAAGAAAACAACAUUUCCCAAAGUUUUCAGGGUGUUUCUUGCUCUCACAAUGGCAGCAAUCGGGGUAUCGCACACUAGCACCCUCACCUCAGAUUCCUCCAGAGCAAGAUCAGCUGUAUCUUCUAUAUUCGCCAUCGUGGACCGUAAAUCGAUGAUUGACCCAAGCGAUGACGCCGGGGUGAAUUUAGAACCACUAAGGGGCGAUAUUGAGUUUCGGCACGUGCGGUUCAGAUACCCGACCCGCCCUGACAUCCAGAUCUUCGAAGACCUAUGCUUGACAAUCCAGUCAGGAAAGACUGUCGCGCUUGUCGGGGAGAGUGGCAGCGGUAAAUCGACGGCGAUAGCGCUGCUGCAGAGAUUCUACGAUCCUGACGCGGGCCACAUACUUCUGGACGGGGUGGACAUCCAGAAGUUCCAGGUGAGGUGGCUGAGGCAGCAGAUGGGGCUGGUGAGCCAAGAGCCAGCCCUCUUCAACGACACCAUCCGAGCAAACAUUGCAUACGGGAAGGAAGGGGAGGCCACGGAAUCAGACAUCGUAUCUGCCGCACAACUGGCGAAUGCCCACAAGUUCAUCAGCUCGCUCCAUCAGGGGUACGACACGGUGGUCGGGGAGCGCGGCGCUCAGCUGUCGGGAGGGCAGAAGCAGCGGGUGGCGAUCGCACGGGCCGUGGCCAAGGACCCCAGGAUCCUGCUGCUGGACGAGGCGACGAGCGCGCUGGACGCGGAGUCGGAGCGGGCGGUGCAGGACGCGCUGGACCGGGUGGCGGCGAGCCGGACGACGGUGGUGGUGGCGCACCGCCUGUCGACGGUCCGGGGCGCCGACGUGAUCGCGGUGGUGAAGGACGGCGCGAUCGUCGAGAGGGGCACGCACGACGCCCUGAUCGCCGUCAAGGGCGGCGCCUACGCGUCCCUCGUCGCCCUCCACUCCGCGUCGUCGGCGUCGUCGUAGCGCCGCUCCAAGAGGGGCGCUCGCGAAUGAAAUCGUGCCGAGCCUGCGAGAUUGUUGGGGGUGGCACGCCUGGUAAUUAUUACCACGUUCGGUUCAGGUGUCAGUUCGCUGUGAAAAUGAAACCCUAUCAUCAAGAAUCAGAAUACCUAAGCACGAACGCUUUAUAUUUCUUUCUAGAAAAAGGAACAAGAAAGUUCUAUAGGAAUAACAAUACCCAAAUAUAUCUGCUACGUAUCAAAAUAAUCGUGCUCUCUAAAAUAUCCAGUUCUCGCCACUGCUUGAUAUAGCCGUAGCAAUAGGUUGUAAUAAAAGAAAAAUAACCGUGAUAUCUCUGAUGCAUAAUCAUGGUGUUGC
rnacentral:rRNA from 1 species